rnacentral:tRNA from 1 species
GGCGGCAUAGCUCAGUUGGCUAGAGCAUUCGGUUCAUACCCGACAGGUCGGUGGUUCAAAUCCGCCUGCCGCUACCA